GAUGAACGCUAGCGGGAGGCUUAACACAUGCAAGUCGAGGGGCAGCAUAGGGUAGCAAUACUCUGAUGGCGACCGGCAAACGGGUGAGUAACGCGUAUGCAACCUACCCUGUACAGGGGGAUAACCCGGAGAAAUUCGGACUAAUAUCCCGUAAUAAUAUCCGGAGGCAUCUUUGGAUAUUUAAAGUUCCGACGGUACGGGAUGGGCAUGCGUAACAUUAACUGGUUGGUAAGGUAACGGCUUACCAAGGCUAUGAUGUUUAGGGGUCCUGAGAGGGUGGUCCCCCACACUGGUACUGAGACACGGACCAGACUCCUACGGGAGGCAGCAGUGAGGAAUAUUGGUCAAUGGGCGCAAGCCUGAACCAGCCAUCCCGCGUGCAGGAAGACGGCCCUAUGGGUUGUAAACUGCUUUUCCAGGGAGAGAAACUUACGCACGUGUUGCGUGACUGACGGUACCCUGGGAAUAAGCAUCGGCUAACUCCGUGCCAGCAGCCGACGGUAAAAUCACGUCG
rnacentral:rRNA from 1 species